rnacentral:rRNA from 1 species
AUUGAACGCUGGCGGCAGGCCUAACCCAUGCAAGUCGAACGAGUGGCGGACGGGUGAGUAAUGUCUUGGAAACUGCCUGAUGGAGGGGGAUAACUACUGGAAACGUUCGCUAAUACCGCAUACCAUCGGAUGUGCCCAUAUGGGAUUAGCUGGUGGGUGGGGUAACGGCUCACCUAGGCGACGAUCCCUAGCUGGUCUGAUAGGAUGACCAGCCACACUGGAACUGAGACACGGUCCAGACUCCUACGGGAGGCAGCAGUGGGGAAUAUUGCACAAUGGGCGCAAGCCUGAUGCAGCCAUGCCGCGGGUAUGAAGAAGGCCUUCGGGUUGUAAAGUACUUUUAGUGGGGAGGCGUUACCCGCAGAAGAAGCACCGGCUAACUCCGUGCCAGCAGCCGCGGUAAUUC